rnacentral:SRP_RNA from 1 species
GCUGGGCAUGGUGGUGGGUGCCUGUAAUCCCAGCUACUUGGGAGGCGGAGACAGGAGAAUCACUUGAACCCAGGAGGUGGAGGUUGCAGUGAGCCGAGAUCGUGCCAUUGCACUCUAGCCUGGGUGACAGAGUGAGACUCUGUCUCAA